rnacentral:rRNA from 1 species
CCCUUAGAUGUUCUGGGCCGCACGCGCGCUACACUGACGAAUGCAACGAGCUUAUAACCUUGGCCGAAAGGUCUGGGUAAUCUCCAAAUUUCGUCGUGAUGGGGAUAGAUUAUUGCAAUUAUUAAUCUUCAACGAGGAAUGCCUAGUAAGCGCAAGUCAUCAGCUUGCGUUGAUUACGUCCCCGCCCUUUGUACACACCGCCCGUCGCUCCUACCGAUUGAAUGGUCCGGUGAAGCGCUCGGACCGCGGCCUCUUGACGGGUCUCCGUCGAUUGGCUGUGGGAAGUUCGUUAAACCUUAUCAUUUAGAGGAAGGAGAAGUCGUANCA